rnacentral:rRNA from 1 species
GACGAACGCUGGCGGCGUGCUUAACACAUGCAAGUCGAACGGAAAGGCCCUGCUUUUGUGGGGUGCUCGAGUGGCGAACGGGUGAGUAACACGUGAGUAACCUGCCCUUGACUUUGGGAUAACUUCAGGAGACUGGGGCUAAUACCGGAUAGGAGCUCCUGCUGCAUGGUGGGGGUUGGAAAGUUUCGGCGGUUGGGGAUGGACUCGCGGCUUAUCAGCUUGUUGGUGGGGUAGUGGCUUACCAAGGCUUUGACGGGUAGCCGGCCUGAGAGGGUGACCGGCCACAUUGGGACUGAGAUACGGCCCAGACUCCUACGGGAGGCAGCAGUGGGGAAUAUUGCACAAUGGGCGGAAGCCUGAUGCAGUAACGCCGCGUGCGGGAUGACGGCCUUCGGGUUGUAAACCGCUUUCGCCUGUGACGAAGCGUGAGUGACGGUAAUGGGUAAAGAAGCACCGGCUAACUACGUG